rnacentral:lncRNA from 10 species
AAAGGAUGGUGCCUGCUGGGGUCUUGCAGAUACCUCAGGACUUCAUUUCAAUGAAGCGGUUCUCCACGAUGUCAAUAUGGCCCACGCUGUGCUUGCCUGCGACUUCAUUCAGCCACACGAGGAUGCAGGAGGUGUCCAGGCCGGCACUGUAGGCCAGAACCAUGGAGCCUUUGCUGAACAUAGCAUCUGGGAUUGGAGGUGCAAUUCCUGGUGCCUGGAAUCUGUCUUCAUGGCUCAGUGAACCACUCGGGGCCUGGGGAGCAAAGGCAGGCAACAGAGCAGGGCCCACGUCUUUCUUAUUGACUCACAGGAAGCGGCAAAAUAGUACAGAGUUCCUUG